CAGGGUUUUACAGAACAACCAAUGAAUCUGUACAAUACACACAGACACUCCCACACAAAAUCCUCCCCUCUGCCUGUGAUACAAUUACCUUACACAAUGGGUAAUUUAAUUAUCACAGACAGAGAAAUACAGUUUCAUAAAACACAUCACAGGGACCGCAAAACAUGCAAUAACCCCAGAUCCACAUAUCCAAAAUUCACCCAGAUCCGUUCAGUACUUUGGAAGAUACAGUUUAAUGCAGAUUCUGCAGAACAUAUACAG